rnacentral:rRNA from 1 species
CCUACGGGAGGCUGCAGUGAGGAAUAUUGGUCAAUGGGCGAGAGCCUGAACCAGCCAAGUCGCGUGAGGGAGUACUGCCCUAUGGGUUGUAAACCUCUUUUGUCGGGGAGCAAAAGCCGGACGUGUCCGGCUGUGAGAGUACCCGAAGAAAAAGCAUCGGCUAACUCCGUGCCAGCAGCCGCGGUAAUACGGAGGAUGCGAGCGUUAUCCGGAUUUAUUGGGUUUAAAGGGUGCGUAGGCGGAUUUUUAAGUCAGCGGUAAAAUCGUGGGGCUCAACCCCAUCCAGCCGUUGAAACUGGGGAUCUAGAGUGUGCGAGAGGUAUGCGGAAUGCGUGGUGUAGCGGUGAAAUGCAUAGAUAUCACGCAGAACCCCGAUUGCGAAGGCAGCAUACCGGUGCACAACUGACGCUCAGGCACGAAAGCGUGGGUAUCGAACAGGAUUAGAUACCCGUGUAGUC